rnacentral:rRNA from 1 species
UGGCGGCGUGCUUAACACAUGCAAGUCGAACGGCAAAGGGACUUCGGGUCCUGAGUAAAGUGGCGCACGGGUGAGUAACGCGUAGAUAACCUGUCUUCAUGUCUGGAAUAAUACGCCGAAAGGGGUACUAAUACCGGAUAUUCUUGCUUUUCAUAAGUUAUGCAAGCAAAGGUGGCCUCUGCAUAUGCUACUGCAUGAAGAGGGGUCUGCGUACCAUUAGCUAGUAGGUGGGGUAAUGGCCUACCUAGGCGACGAUGGUUAGCGGGUCUGAGAGGAUGAUCCGCCACACUGGCACUGGAACACGGGCCAGACUCCUACGGGAGGCAGCAGUGAGGAAUAUUGCGCAAUGGGGGAAACCCUGACGCAGCGACGCCGCGUGAGUGAAGGAAGGCCUUCGGGUCGUAAAGCUCUGUCAAGAGGAAAGAAGUGUACAAUGGCUAAUACCUGUUGUAUUUGACGGUACCUCUAAAGGAAGCACCGGCUAACUCCGUGCCAGCAGCUGC